rnacentral:misc_RNA from 1 species
UUUCCGUAGGUGAACCUGCGGAAGGAUCAUUGCAUCGAUCAACACCUUUCCACGCGAACACCCGUCUCCCCGCGUCUCCUUUCGGUGGCUGCGCCCGACGACGCUUCCCGGUCAUCUUGACCGGGGAGCCGAGGAUGCAGCCCCUGGAGCGUGCGCCUGCUCCCGGUCGAUCUGGCUUCGGUCCGAUUGGCAAGGUCGGGCGGUGCCGUCCGUGGGACGAGGCUUUGUUGUUGCGAGCGGGCGACCGCUCCGACUCCAGGCCGACGACUCUCCGCGGCUCCGGCUGGGACAAACCCCACACCGAUCCUCGACUGAACACACCUGAAGCAGAGCGCUGUCUCGAUCAACCGACCGAGCAGCCUUCAAACCAAAGACAACUCUCAACAACGGAUAUCUUGGCUCCC